rnacentral:rRNA from 1 species
UCUACGGGUGGCAGCAGUGGGGAAUAUUGGACAAUGGGCGAAAGCCUGAUCCAGCCAUGCCGCGUGUGUGAAGAAGGCCUUCGGGUUGUAAAGCACUUUCAGUGGGGAAGAAAGCCUUGGGGCUAAUACCCUCGAGGAAGGACAUCACCCACAGAAGAAGCACCGGCUAACUCCGUGCCAGCAGCCGCGGUAAUACGGAGGGUGCGAGCGUUAAUCGGAAUUACUGGGCGUAAAGCGCGCGUAGGCGGUUUGAUAAGCCGGUUGUGAAAGCCCCGGGCUCAACCUGGGAACGGCAUCCGGAACUGUCAGGCUAGAGUGCAGGAGAGGAAGGUAGAAUUCCCGGUGUAGCGGUGAAAUGCGUAGAGAUCGGGAGGAAUACCAGUGGCGAAGGCGGCCUUCUGGACUGACACUGACGCUGAGGUGCGAAAGCGUGGGUAGCAAACAGGAUUAGAUACCCGAGUAGUC